rnacentral:tRNA from 1 species
AGUAUAUAGUUUAUUUAAAAUAUAAUGUUUGGGUUGUUAAGAAGGUUGCUGAAGC